AGAUUCUCGACGGAAAGAUGUAUG
rnacentral:siRNA from 1 species